rnacentral:rRNA from 1 species
UACCAGCACCCCGAGUGGUCGGGACGUUUAUUGGGCGUAAAGAGCUCGUAGGCGGUGUGUCGCGUCGGCCGUGAAAACCUGCAGCUUAACUGUGGGCUUGCGGUCGAUACGGGCAUCACUGGAGUUCGGCAGGGGAGACUGGAAUUCCUGGUGUAGCGGUGAAAUGCGCAGAUAUCAGGAGGAACACCGGUGGCGAAGGCGGGUCUCUGGGCCGAUACUGACGCUGGGGAGCGAAAGCGUGGGGAGCGAACAGG